GUGAUGGAUGACAGGCUAUGUGUUUGUGUGUGGGUUUGUCUGAUUGGAGUAGGACUCAAGGACUGGAUUGAAGAGGGAGGUAAUUAGGUAAUUUCUUUUUCUCCAAACCACUGAGUUUUUGUUUUACUUUAUAAAAUAACACCUAUUAGUUAUCAUUAUUAUUAGUAGUAGUGUUUCAAACAUAAACUAUGUUAAUGUGAUAUACAAAUCACACAAACACAUAAGUGAACAUAGAAAAUAAAGACUGCUGGUAAUGGUAACUUGCAGAAAUAACCACUGUUAACCUUUCAUUCUGAAUGUUUCCUAUUGUAUAUAUUCAUCCACAUCUAUUUGUACACUUUUCUUCUACUUUGGGGUUAUGAUACACAACCUACCCUGUAGCCUGUUUUCUUUUCUUUACUUAAAAAUCUAAGAUUUUUCAGAUUACAUAUUCCUCCUAAACAUAAUUUUAAUGGUUGUGUAACUUUUUGUUACACAGGUAUAUUAACACCAAUUUAAAUAAUUUUUUAUUUUUCAGUAUUUAGGUUGUUUCCUAUUUUAGCUUCUUAUAAUAUUAAUCUGAUCAACAAAUCUGCAUCCAUGUAUUAUGUGCAUGUAAACUGGAUUAUCAUUUUAAGUGUGAGACAAGAAAUUCCCAGCAGUUAUUCAAUAUUAAUAUGUUUCUCUCUCUCUUCUCCCUGUAUAUAUUACACAGACACACACAAGCAUAUAAAAUAACACUACAAAACAAGUAGCAAUAUACCAGCAAGGCUGAAGAGGUAACGGAAAUACAUAGAUGGAAAAUCCAAGAUACAAAUUCAGUUCUCUCUAACAACAAAUUCUAAAUUGUCUCCUCUAUGACACUACUGCUAAUAGUAAUAAUAACUCGCCUUAGUUGAGCACUAACUAUGUGCUAGGCAAGGUACUAAAUACUUUAUGUAAACUGUCUCAUAUAACCCUUACAACAUCUCUAUAAGGUUGUAGACGCAAAAAGGGGGUGAUCCCUUUUCUCCUCAUAAAGGGUCAUGGCCAAAACUCCCCGUAACAAAAGAGAGCUUGAUAAGAGACAAGCAUAACAAAUUUAUUAUGUGCAUAGGAGUCACACAAAAAAAUAUUAAAAACUCAAAAAAGGGCCAGAUGAUUGAUGCUUAAAUAUCCUCUUCAUUGGAGAGAGGAAAGUGAAUGAAUAGACCCAAGGACAAGAUAAUGAUUUAUCAAAGAUUCUCUUUGGAUGCUGAAUGCAACCAAAAAACACACAAUAGCUGGUGGACAAGUUAGAGAAGGGUGUGGGGCAGAACUGCAUUGUGAACAAUGGUUGUCUUAUUACGCAAGUACAGUUCCCCAAGUAAUUUCUCACAACUGCCCUUAAAAGAAUCGAUGAAAAGUCUGUCUGCAUGUGGUUACAAUUUCCAGUCUCUCCUCUUCUCCAGUGUUAAUCCUUCCUGGUUAUUUAAUGAGAUUCCUAAGAAGAGGGUUUUAAGAUAAUUUCCUUUAAUUUACAAGAAGUUUUCUCAGACAAAUACGGAAAUUUCAGAGAAAGUCCCUUUUGGAAAAUAAAAAGGAUCAGAGAAACAGGAAGGCAGAGGAAGGUCAGAGGGAGACCUUAAAGGUCUCCCUUUACUUUGGCAUGCCAGAGCAGCAUAUUUUGAGGUAUUGGUUUCUGAGCCCCAACAAGGUAAACAACUAUUAUUAUAACCAUUUUAGAGUUGAAGAAAAAGGAGCAAAAAUAAUUUAAUAAUUUCUGCAAGGUCACACCACUGGUUACUACAUUUGUCAAGAAGUCUCAAUGUGUAGAGGGUAGACAUACAUUACAAGAUGACUUCAUAUUUGGAUACACUAUAUGGGUUUGAGAUAGGAUUUUUUGGUACCUAUAAUAGUCAUAUUGGCAAAUGUUACAAUGGUGGCAGUAGAGUAUCUUGGUUAACAGUACAGACUCUAGAGACAGACUGCUCAAAUUCAGAUUUCAGCUCUGGCACCCUAGCUGUGUGACCUUAGUCAAGUUAAUUAAUACCUCUGUGCCUAAGUUUUCUCAUCUCUAAAAUUGGGAUAAUUAUAAUAGAUAGUUAUGAAAAUUAAAUAAGAUAAUUAAAUAGACAGCUCCCUUCCAGUAAGGCUUCAAUAAAUGUUAACUAAUAUCCAAAGAAGUAAUAAACAAAAUGACAAAAAAGCAUCAAAUAAAAAUUAACACAUAAAUAGAGGCGUUUGCUCCUAGACUGAGCUAUGAAAAAUGAGACUUCCUUUGGAAAAUUCCAAUUAGGCUUUCGUCUGUUAACAUUUAGAGUAUAGUGAAAAUUAAAAAAUAGCACAAAAACAUAGUAACUUAAUUUCGACUCUAUUGUAUGUCAUAAAAUAAUUAGCUAUUCACUCUUCUCAAAUGAAGAGAGCUGGUAGCUCACUGCUGGGUGAGACCUCAGUGAAAACUCAUUCACAGAAAGAACCAGGAUCAGUUUUCUAGCAUUUAGGAAAAAACAUCCAAAGAGAUAUAAACAAAAGUCUGCAGACACAGCCCAGAGAAAGUCUGAUAGGUGAAUAGAAGCCAAGUGAGCUAGGGAGAAUGCCUUUCUCACCCCUCCAAUCGACACUUACAAGUUCCCAAGCUUGAUGACCUUGGCUCAUCCUAAAAAAGACAUCUGUACCACAUCUGGCCCACUUCAAAUGCGGAGAGAUACACCUGCAGUUUCUGAAUGGAUUUCUUCAACAAUGCCGCCUAAUUGACUCACAUUAAAAAUACUUUGAUCGACCCAUCUCUUUGUCACAUGAAGCUGGAAACACUAACAGAGGCUGUUGGAAAGAAAGGUCUGGUUCCGUGGCCAAAUACCUUGACUUUUCCAAAAACAGACUUUUUCUGUCUCUUCAGAAGAAGAAUUACAUGCAAUGGGAAGAUUGAUGUUCCUCUGUCAGAAAGCUACCUUGGAACAGGUGCUCCCAAUUAAUUUCCAUGAGCCACAUUUAUCCUGUGGUCAGAUAAUUAAAAAAAAAAUAACCUGGAUAAACCUUCUUUUGCCAGUCUAAUAACCACAUUUGAUGUAAUAAAACAGCAAGCACUUAGGAAUAUUCCAAUAAAAAAGAUUUAUUUUUAUUCUAGUAUAUAUUAUAAUGAAUAAUAUUAUUGAUAUUAUAGAAUUUAAAAUUACAUUAAAUCAGAGCUAUUUAUGUUUAUUAUGCAAAAUGUACACAAUAUAGAAAAAUAUAAAGAAAAAUUUCAAUACACAAAGUAUGGAUAUGCUUUAUUUUCACUCCAUUUUCACAUAUAUAUUGACACAGAUGCAGUCAAACAUUAUUUAGAGUUUUAUGAAUUAAUAACACAGUCAUUAAAAAGUAAUUAACCAAGUAAUAUUCAUAGUCAUUGCAAACUAAUUGGAAAAUAUAAAUAAAUAAAAUAUAAGCAUCACUUUCUUUUUAGUAGCACAAUACUUUUUCUGAUACAUGUUAUUUCUAUUUUUUUGCUUUAAAAUUCAAAAGAUUAUAUUUAUGCAGUAAUGGAUUUUUGUGGUUGUUAUAGAGCCCAUGUGCCCUGGGGAAGGAUUUUAAAUAUCAUGAAACUGAGUUCUUUCCAGUUUUCUUUCUCAUUAAGGGGACUGAAGAGAUCAGCCCCUUAGCAAAGAUUUGACUGAGAUAUAAUAGAGACAAUUAUGUACUCUAUUACCAAUUCGGAUGGACUUUAUGGUAUUUAAAUGAACAAAGCUCUCUUUGUCAUUUCAUUAACAUGAUUCCUUUUCAGAGAAUGAGCAGUUCUCAUCUCCUUCCUCCAUUUUGGGAAAACAGCCCAAUUUUUCUCAAGCUCAUUUGAAAGGCAAAAUGGUUGUUGAUCUCUCCAUAAUUGAUUGAGGAUGUGUCUGGCCGCUGAGAGUACCUGAAUCCAUGGCUUAUAUCAGACCACACUAGAGUGAGAAGUGCCAUGUUCUAUUUGGGUGGAAUAGUUAGAGGUUCAAAAACCACAGAACAUAACAAGCAUUAUUAAUUUAUAAUUCCGUGGCAUUUGUUAGCUUGUUUUUCUCAUUUUUUCUUUUUCCCUCUUAAAAAAUGAAACGUGUAACGUCUGAGACCAGAACAUAUUGUUCUAAAAGGGUUCAAAUUUAAAAUGCUGAAUUUCUUCAUUUGAACUUUACCCAAUUAUGAGAAUUUUAAUACUUGCAAAUUAUUUUUUAUUGUUUUAUUUUACUUUUAAAAGUAAUUUUAUACAUUAGCUAGUCUUACUAAUUAAAAUGCAUACAUCCAAAUUGCCCAUAUUUAAGAAGCAUGUCAAAAAUAAAUGAAAAUAAUGGAUCCAGAUGAACAAUGAGCUUUUAUUUUACUUUGGCAUAUUUUAAGAACUAUAAGCUCAGAAGUAUGUAUGCAUAUUAUUUUAUAUAUUGUACAUUAUUAUAUGUACAUUAUCAUAUACACGUAAGCAUAUUCAUGUAUUACCUAUCAUAGACGUUUGAAAUGCUUGUUUCUCGGUGCCGUAAAGAAUAGCACUUGAACAUAAAUUUAAUUUACUCAGCAAGGCCGUUUUUAUACUUUCUGCAGAAAGGGUACACUCACCAGCAGUUUUGCCAGGAGAGUACACCAAACAAAGGAGACAGGGUCAUUUCCAACCUGCAGUGCCCACCAUACUGUUGUGUCCAGUUUCCGUUGGCUGGAACGGGGCCUCACAUUUUGUUUUGUCUCGAUUGACUGGCGACUUAGAACUUUUUAAAGAGGCAAAAGUAGAAGAGAACAAAGGAGAGAGGAAGUAACUUGUGGAAUGCUGAGAAAGGUAAAAACACCUUUAAAUAAGGAAAAGGAACAGGCUAUGACCUAAUGCUUGCUUCAACCAGUAUAAGCCUGCCAGGGCAAAUAUUUAGGCCAAAUUGUGGGAGCUAAGAACAUAAAGUACGUUGAUUUCUUUACCACAGCUAGCAGAUAUUUAAGAAUGUUAGCACAGGUCUUUGAAUAAAUUUUGCUUCUAAGAGAAGUUACUAUUUAUUCCUAAUAAAUGGGGAGGAAAAUCUUUGAAGAGGAACCUUUACUUUAUUUUUUACAAUAGAGUUCAAUAUAAAAGCUGGGGAGGGGCUGGGCGUGGUGGCUCACGCCUGUAAUCCCAGCAUUUUGGGAGGCCGAGGCGGGCGGAUCACAAGGUCAGGAGAUCGAGACCAUCCUGGCUAACACGGUGAAACCCCGUCUCUACUAAAAAUACAAGAAAUCAGCCGGGCGUGGUGGCGGGCACCUGUAGUCCCAGCUACUCGGGAGGCUGAGGCAGGAGAAUGGCAUGAACCCGGGAGGCAGAGCUUGCGGUGAGCUGAGACCGCACCACUGCACUCCAGCCUGGGAGACAGAGCGAGACUCGUCUCAAAAAAAAAACAAACAAACAAAACCUGGGGAGGAUUUUCUGCCUUAUAGAUACUAAGAAGAGACCUCCAUAUUGUCUCUUUGGGUCUUGGUAAUGCUUAUAUAAGCUACCACCUUGUAUAAGACAUCGAACCACAUACCUUGAGCCUGCUCUCUCAGUAUUACUCUUCUAAGAGUGAAAAGAAGUAGUCCAGUAUUGAACAUUAGUUAAAAUAAGGACACAAAUGUCUGUGUAAUUAAGUUCUUAAACAACAGAGUAGAAAUGGAAACAAACUUUAAAUACCCUACUUAAGAUCUGUAAAAUUCUUUGGAACUACCCAAGUUUCUGUGUUACUUCAUGGAUCUUUUGCCUAAGAUGAGACCUCUUCCUCGAGUGCUCUUUUAUCCAUUUCGACUCAUCCCUGAGACCCGUAAUUUAGCUAAAUCCCAUUCAUUGUUUGAGUAAAGUGAGUACAGAUUUUGGGGACCUAAAGCAUGUGUAGGUUUGAGGGACUUAUUUUAAGAAAAAGAAUAUAAAGUUACAAAUAGAAAGGGUAUGUUGGAAAUGAAAGUUGAUUAUGAAUAAGAAAAUAAAUCACAACAAAUAACUGCACACUUAAGAUUCAGCCCAAUUUCUUCCAAGAUCUCUUUAGGUAAUUUAAUGAAAAUACUUAAGAAGAAAUGAUACCUGUUUGCAUCCUGGAUUUUCCUCCCCAAAUUUAACACCCGUUCCUCUCUGGGACCUGCCCAAGGGAGAAACCAAAAAACUGAAGUUUCUUUAAAAAUUUUGUUUUAAUUGACACAUUGUACAUAUGGGAUACAAUGAAAUCUUAUCCCCUGUGACAACAUGAAUAAACUUGGAUCACAUCAUGUUAAGUAAAAUAAGCCAGACACAGGACAAAUAAUAAUCACACUCAUGUGAAAUCUAAAAAAAAAAAAAAAAAGUUGUUAUCAUAGAAGCAGAGUGGAACAGUGGUUAACCAGAGACUGUCGGGGGAGAAUGAAGAGAGGUUGGUCAAGCGCUUCUUGAGCAUUAUGGCAAGUCUCAGGCUGUCCCUUCUUGUAAGAAAUCUUCUUUGUUUGCUUUCAGUAUUCCUCCCCUGAGCUUCUGUGGCAUAUUAUGUCCUCCUCUAUCUUAGCAUUUACCACCUUGUAUUUUAAGUGCCCUAAUUAGAAUAGGAGUCUUUCGGAUAGGAAAUUUGAAUCCCUCCCCAUUUUAUCCCCAAUUUUCAGCACAGUUCUUAUCAUAUAAUAUGCACCAAAUAAAUAUUUUCCAAUAAUAGCAAAUAAUUGCAUAGUGCUUACCAUAUACCGGGCUCUCUUCUAAGUAUUUUACAUCUCUUCACUAGAACAAAGCUAACUUUAUUAUCAAUAUUAUAUAGAUGAGGAAACUAAGAAGUAGAGAGCUUAAAUAACUUGCCUAAGUCCAGAGAGUUAGUUCACACUGGAGCUGAAAUUCAAACCCAGGCGGUGUGCUAAUACAGUUCAUGCUCUUGACCCCAUGCAAUACUACCUCUCAAAAGGAAUGCUUUUCUUCAUUCUUGCUUUAAGUGGCAUUUCAACUCCAUGCCUCAAGGCAUGGUUUGCUACAAUGGCCGACUCCUUAAGAAUUGAUAAUCCAAUUUGUGAAUUUUUGAAGACUUGCAGCCUCUUCACCCCCCCUACAGCUUCUUGCCUGUAGGAAACACAUGCUUGUUAGUACCUCCCCAGAGAUGUUGUCAGGAGAUGAGACCAUAUUACUUCCAUUGUCCUCUACAACCCCCAGUUAUUCUUAAUCCUACUGGGGUCUCUAGAAGCUAAUCUUGCAGUAGUUUGUCUGUAAGUGUGGAUUCCAAAUAGGAAGUAACCCUUUAUUACCUAUACUUAACCUUUUCACCCCUUAAGGGUUGAUCAUCCGAACCAAUCCUCUCCUUGGAAAGAUAUGUUAAGUACACAAAUGGAAGCUCAAAAUAUGUCCUUUCAGCAGUUGAAAGAUUUUUAGUGGCAGAGUGACAGAAUAAAAACUAUAUUUAAAGAGGAUUAGGAGAUGCAUUGAAGAAGAGGAAGAGAUGGGAGAUGAGGAGAUGAGUGAAGAGCAAAUUGGUUUCGUGCUGCAACAGCUUCCAAUGUGGACACUGACCCUGCAAACCUGCCAACCAUUUCUAACACUUUACUUUAAAAUAAUUAUUUCCUGAAACUGAUUUUGGUAUAAUUUCCCAAGUCUAGUGAUUCUCAUAACAGUUUACUUUGAGAACCUUGUGUAUCAGUCCAUUCUCACACUACUAUAAAGAACUGCCCAAGACUGGGUAAUUUAUAAAGGAAAGAGGUUUAACUGACUCACAGUUCCGCAGGGCUGGGGAAGCCUCAGGAAACUUACAAUCGUAGUAGAAGGGGAAACAAAUGCAUCCUUCUUCAAAUGGCGUCAGGAAGGAGAAGUAGUGCUGAGCAAAGGGGGAAAAGCCCCUUAUAAAAACAAUCAAAUCUUGUCAGAACUCACUCACCAUCAUGAGAAAAGCAGCAUGGGG
rnacentral:lncRNA from 10 species